rnacentral:rRNA from 1 species
UCCUACGGGAGGCAGCAGUUGGGAAUCUUCGGCAAUGGGCGCAAGCCUGACCGAGCAACGCCGCGUGAGUGAUGAAGGUUUUCGGAUUGUAAAGCUCUGUCUUCCGGGACGAUAAUGACGGUACCGGAGGAGGAAGCCACGGCUAACUACGUGCCAGCAGCCGCGGUAAUA